rnacentral:pre_miRNA from 1 species
UGGUUGAAUAUGCUUCUGGUCCAUGUGGAUGAAAGUUAGUCAUGACUAGAUCAUACUCAUCCACC